AGGUCGUCCCCCCCCGACACCUCGCUGCUGGCAUUAAAGGCCGGAGCUGGAGAAACUCCUCCCCUUCCCUCUGCUUCUCCCAUCUCUCCCUUCCCCUCCUCCCCCUCCCAUUUCCUAAGGACAUUUGAGGGAAAAAAAAUUAAAAAGAAGAAAAGAAAAAAGAAAAUAAGGAGCCUAGAGUAACUUGGGACGGUGGGACGGCGUGGGGAGGGGGAAGAGGAGCCUCCCUUUCCAGAUGCAUCGCCCAGCACCACGCCUGGGCGAAGGGAUGGGAAGCACUGCCAUGGACAAGAAGAAAGAUACCUCCAGCAGCAGCACCAGCAGGAAGAGCUCCAGCCAGAAGAAACUCAUGUUGCGAGUGCACAUUCCUGAUCUCAGCUCAUUUGCCAUGCCAUUCUUGGACGGUGAUGUGGAGAGCACAGACAAAAAUGCUUCUCGCAAGGUGGAAGACAGCUACUCCACCGGCAGCCCCUCAAAAGGCUUUUUCUCAAAAGGGCUCCAGAAUCGACCUUCCAGCCCUGUUUCUGCCCCUGUGAGAUCCAAACAUAGCCCUGGCUCACCCAAAACAGUGUUCCCCUUCCCCUACCAGGAGUCUCCCCCACGCUCCCCACGCCGAAUGAGCUUCAGUGGGAUCUUCAGGUCCUCCUCCAAAGAGUCCUCCCCCAGUUCUAACCCGUCUACCUCUCCUGGGGGCAUCAAGUUUUUCUCCAGAUCAAGAAAAACCUCUGGCCUCUCCUCUUCUCCAUCUACCCCAACACAAGUGACCAAGCAGCCCACGUUUCCUCUCGAAUCCUAUAAGCAUGAGCCUGAGAGACUAGAAACGCGGAUUCACUGUUCUUCGCCUCCGGAUACAGGGCAGAGAUUUUCUCUGCCUCCAUCUCAAAGUGCAGCCAAGCCUCCUGUCAUGACACCAGCUCCCUGUGCUACCUCAAAACCAGCGGCGGCGGCGGCAGCGGCGGCUCCGGCUCCCUCUCAGCUCCCGGCCGCCUCCGAAGGGAUGCUGGAGAAACUAGAGCUCGAAGAUGAAGCACUUGAAGAAUCGGAAAGUGACAUUUAUGUGCGAUUCAUGAGGUCACACAAGUGUUAUGACAUUGUUCCAACAAGCUCUAAGCUUGUUGUUUUCGACACUACGCUACAAGUUAAGAAAGCCUUUUUUGCGUUGGUGGCAAAUGGUGUGAGAGCAGCUCCACUGUGGGAGAGUAAAAAACAGAGUUUUGUAGGAAUGCUAACAAUUACAGAUUUCAUUAACAUACUGCAUAGAUACUAUAAGUCUCCAAUGGUUCAGAUUUAUGAAUUGGAGGAGCACAAGAUAGAAACUUGGAGGGAGCUUUAUUUACAAGAGACAUUUAAACCUUUAGUGAACAUCUCCCCAGAUGCAAGCCUUUUUGAUGCUGUAUAUUCAUUGAUCAAAAACAAAAUCCACAGAUUGCCAGUUAUAGAUCCAGUCAGUGGAAAUGCACUUUAUAUACUUACCCAUAAAAGAAUCCUCAAGUUCCUCCAGCUUUUUAUGUCAGAGAUGCCAAAGCCUGCCUUUAUGAAGAAGAAUCUGGAUGAACUUGGAAUAGGAACUUACCAUAACAUUGCCUUCAUACAUCCAGACACUCCUAUCAUUAAAGCCUUGAAUAUAUUUGUAGAGAGAAGGAUAUCAGCAUUGCCUGUUGUGGAUGAGUCAGGAAAAGUUGUAGAUAUUUAUUCCAAAUUUGAUGUAAUAAACCUUGCUGCUGAAAAAACGUAUAAUAACCUAGAUAUCACAGUGACGCAAGCCCUGCAGCACCGCUCGCAGUAUUUCGAAGGUGUUGUGAAGUGUAGUAUGCUGGAAACACUGGAGACCAUUGUGGAUAGGAUAGUCAAGGCUGAGGUCCAUCGUUUGGUGGUAGUGAAUGAAGCAGAUAGCAUUGUGGGUAUCAUCUCCCUUUCUGACAUUCUACAAGCUCUGGUACUCACACCAGCAGGCUACAAUGAAAACAUUGACUGACAGGAAUUAAGACCAGCCUACAACAGGGAGAAAAGUGUCAGUUAUGAUGUGAAAUCUGGCUAUAUUUGAUGAAUCCUUCAGUGUUUGAUUAUACAUUAGAAGUAGUAACUCCAGGUUGCUGGCAAGAUAUUCUCACUCUCUGAAGUGGGAUGCUGAAGCCAAACUCACCACAGGAUUUGGCUGUUUCCCACCACGUGGCUAGUUUGAGUAUUUGGAGAAGAGGCAAGAUGCUGUGCAGUCCUGCUGCAAAGGUCUCCUGGAUCUCGCCCAGGAAAAAUGGGUCCAUCAACCCAGUGUAGUUAAACCGAACUCUCAUUACUUAGUUCUCAAGCAGGACUUUGGUUUCAAGGCUAUGACGAUGAGGAGGCUCCUGAGCUGCUGGACAGGUGCCAAACAGAAGGAGAAUGAAAGCGAAUGACUGCUGUGAAUGUGUCCACUGCUGCAGGAGAACUUGAACAAGGUUUCUGGGUCAAGUUUGUCUCAAGAACAGUGACUGCAAUAGAAGAGAGCAGGAUGGUUGAGGAUGUGUAUUGGGACUUAGUGAUGGAUGAUGAGUCUAUUCCCCCCAGUGAUGUCACAAAAAAAGCAGCAUGACAAAAGCUUAUGUUCAAAUGUAGGCUUGUAUUUCAAAACGUCUUCAAAACAUUUGCUGGAAGACUUCACAUGAUGUCCUUCAUUAAAAUGCACUGUAUUCUGAAACUCUUUCAUUUUGUAUUUGGCAGAAGUCACUGGUCAGCAAUGGAUAUAUGUGACAUAAGGCAAGUGUAUGGCAUAUUCAUAUCAUAGUGCCUUAUGUCAAAAUACAGCAAUAUGUCAUCACUGUUGCCCAUCACUGUCAAAGGAAGUGUUGUGCUAAAUGAGACACUGUAUUUGAAUGUGAAAGUCUUUAAACCUAAAACCAAAUCAGUUUCAGUUCUCAUCAGAUUUGUCAUAAAAGCUGUAAUUUGAACAUUGAUAGACUUUAAACCUCCAAUGAGAGUUUUGUGUUAAAUGUUGCAUUCUGAACUGAGAUGUAAAACAAGACUGAUUUUAAAAACAGCUUUAUUUAUUUUUACUUUCAUGACGAUUUUUUACACAUCUUUGGUGGAUAGCUAAGAUUUCACCAUAUCCAUUAAUAAAUUGUUGAUUGUUAUACAAACAAGCGGUAGAUUUUUCUCAUUAUUUAAAUCUCUGGAGUUGCAGAAGCUGUGGCCUGUAGAUCAGUCUGCAUUCCUUGAGCCGAAGAUUGCAGAGGCAUGGAUGGGAAGCGCUCAGUGCUGUGAUACGCAGGCACCAUGGAGGAAGCGAGGUGCCAGAGAACAGCGUUUUCAUCUGUAUUGAAGUGUAAACCAAUGUUUGUAUGACCAACCCCAACCCCCCAACCUUUUUAUUGUAUAUGAUUUGUACAGAAGUGGAGGAGAGAGGAAAGCUGUGGGGUAUUUGCUAAUGUAAAUGUACUGUAAAGCUUGAGAAAUGAGACUUUUAUAACUGUAGAUUCCUGUAGAUGGAAGUAAUUAAACCCUACAACAUCA